rnacentral:lncRNA from 1 species
AGGAGUAUGACAAGCAGGACAUUCAGUGAGCUCUUGGGACGGGGUGGCCAGAACGAAGAGGUGGUGGGAGUGGAGGGGUCUUAGAAUAAGUCCAAAGGCCUGGGCCAGUCCACUUCCUCUCUGCAGGCUGGUGGCCGCGCUCUCUGUCACCCUGGGCCUCUUUGCAGUGGAGCUGGCCGGUUUCCUCUCAGGAGUCUCCAUGUUCAACAGCACCCAGAGCCUCAUCUCCAUUGGGGCUCACUGUAGUGCAUCCGUGGCCCUGUCCUUCUUCAUAUUCGAGCGUUGGGAGUGCACUACGUAUUGUGCCCUUCCAGCUGUCACUGAAAUGGCUUUAUUCGUCACCGUCUUUGGGCUGAAAAAGAAACCCUUCUGAUUACCUUCAUGACGGGAACCUAAGGACGAAGGCUACAGGGGCAAGGGCCGCUUCGUAUUCCUGGAAGAAGGAAGGCAUAGGCUUCGGUUUUCCCCUCGGAAACUGCUUCUGCUGGAGGAUAUGUGUUGGAAUAAUUACGUCUUGAGUCUGGG